rnacentral:rRNA from 1 species
AUUGAACGCUGGCGGCAGGCCUAACACAUGCAAGUCGAGCGGAUGAAGGGAGCUUGCUCCUGGCUUCAGCGGCGGACGGGUGAGUAAUGCCUAGGAAUCUGCCUGGUCGUGGGGGAUAACGUCCGGAAACGGGCGCUAAUAUCGCAUACGUCCUGAGGGAGAAAGUGGGGGAUCUUCGGACCUCACGCUAUCAGAUGAGCCUAGGUCGGAUUAGCUAGUUGGUGGGGUAAAGGCCUACCAAGGCGACGAUCCGUAACUGGUCUGAGAGGAUGAUCAGUCACACUGGAACUGAGACACGGUCCAGACUCCUACGGGAGGCAGCAGUGGGGAAUAUUGGACAAUGGGCGAAAGCCUGAUCCAGCCAUGCCGCGUGUGUGAAGAAGGUCUUCGGAUUGUAAAGCACUUUAAGUUGGGAGGAAGGGCAGUGAGUUAAUACCUGGCUGUUUUGACGGUACCAACAGAAUAAGCACCGGCUAACUUCGUG